GAUGAACGCUAGCGGCAGGCUUAAUACAUGCAAGUCGAGGGGCAGCAUGAUUGUAGCAAUACAAUUGAUGGCGACCGGCAAACGGGUGCGGAACACGUACACAACCUUCCAACAAGUGGGGGAUAGCCCAGAGAAAUUUGGAUUAAUACCCCGUAACAUAGCGAUGUGGCAUCACAUUGCUAUUAUAGAUUUUUCGCUUGUUGAUGGGUGUGCGGCUGAUUAGAUAGUUGGCGGGGUAACGGCCCACCAAGUCUACGAUCAGUAGCUGAUGUGAGAGCAUGAUCAGCCACACGGGCACUGAGACACGGGCCCGACUCCUACGGGAGGCAGCAGUAAGGAAUAUUGGACAAUGGGCGCAAGUCUGAUCCAGCCAUGCCGCGUGAAGGAUUAAGGUCCUCUGGAUUGUAAACUUCUUUUAUAAGGGACGAAAAAAGGCUUUUCUAAGUCGUCUGACGGUACCUUAUGAAUAAGCACCGGCUAACUCCGUGCCAGCAGCCGCUGUAACAC
rnacentral:rRNA from 1 species